ACUCCUACGGGAGGCAGCAGUGAGGAAUAUUGGUCAAUGGGCGCAAGCCUGAACCAGCCAUGCCGCGUGCAGGAAGAAUGCCCUAUGGGUUGUAAACUGCUUUUAUUUGGGAAUAAACCUCUUUACGUGUAGAGAGCUGAAGGUACCAAAUGAAUAAGCACCGGCUAACUCCGUGCCAGCAGCCGCGGUAAUAC
rnacentral:rRNA from 1 species